ACCCCAAACUGCCAUCGCCCCUGGCCUGGGGCCUCCACCACGUGCCCCUGCUGCCUGGGACCCUCUCCAAGCCUCCAGGAUUCCCCGUCCUGUAAGAGCCCACCCUGUCAUGGGGGGAUGGCACUUCCCUGCUCUCCUAAAGGCUCUGGCACCCAACAGCCACCAGCAACUGCCUUGAGCUUGGAGUCCAGCUGCCCCCUGCAGUCCAAGCCAGGAGAGGGAGGCCCAGAGGAUACCGUGUCGGCUGGGGCUACCUUGGUCCCCACCCAGCAGGGCCGUCCGGGCGCCCCCAGAGCGUGCGCCUCAGCGCUGUGUCUCCACGUUCGCGGCGCGAUCACACGCCCAACGCCCGGGCGCCCUGGCGGCUGGUCCACGUUGACGGCAAAGCCGGGUGGCGCUCAGACGCGUUUUAAGGUGGUCGUAACACAACCCGGACAGGCGAAAGGCAGCGUUUUCAGUCUUCCCGUAUUGUCUACAAUAGAUGACCAGUUUCCCUGGAGGGACGGGGCGGCGGCCAGCUUCGAGCCUCGGGGCGGAACCAGACUGACAGAGCCCUGGAGGUUGCGAAGCCCCAGGUCCCUGCCAGGGAUCCUAGAGCGGGGCCCCGCUACUGAGUCCUCCCGGCUGCCGUAGCCGCGAACGCCCCCCCCGAGGCCCGGCACUGUCCCCAGCACAUGACCUGGCUUAGCCAAUCACAGUACAACAAGCCGCGGCCUCGGCGAUUGGGCCAGAGGUGGGCACAUGAUCCUAACUAGCCAGUCGGAGCCCAGGGCUGUCCAUUCGCUGUGGAGCCGGCUUCGGGCUCCUCGGUGUGGCUGCGGGGAGUCUAGGGUGGGGAUGGCGUCGCCCCGCGCAGAGGGUUCCCCGCGGGCAUACCGCGUACACCUGACAGCUGCGGAAAUGGCGAGAGAGGGGACACCCGACAGCCGCUGAGGUGGGGGCGCGCCCCGAGAACCCUCUCUUCGUGGCCCCCGCGGUCCGCGCGGCCUCCAGCCAGCCCGCCUCUGCGCCUCCCAGAAGACCGCCUCGGAAUGAGUCUCCCGAAUGAGCACGCGGGUGGGAAGUUGUCGUGCGUCCCAGAGGGAGGCCGGGGUCUCGGUGGUGUCAGCCCCGGCAUCCCCAGCGCCGGCGGUGUGGGUGCGGGUGGGUCUCCAGUCACCCAGAGCUUGGCCGUGUGGCCCCAAGACUCAGGGGACCCCGCCUGGCCCGGAGACAGGAGGUGCAGGCGCCUGGACCCGCCCAGGGCCCUCUGGGUCCUGGGCCCCGAGCGAGGAGCACAGGGGUUGCCAGACCAAGUACGGGGUCUUUUCUGGGUAGGGUGUACUUACCACAACUCGCUUAGAGUAUGCGGCUCAGUGUCCGUUAGCUCGUUCAGAGAGGGGCAGCCCCCCCACCAUCUGGUUCUACCACAUUUUCAUUACGCCGGAAAGAGCCCUGAGCCCAGCCCCAGGCAACCCAAUCCACUUUGGUCCCUGUGGAUAGACCCUAUGUCACAUGCGGCCCGGUUCCAUUAAACCAUCAUUCCUGACUCAUUUGA